rnacentral:rRNA from 1 species
UACGUAGGGUGCGAGCGUUGUCCGGAAUUAUUGGGCGUAAAGAGCUCGUAGGCGGCUUGUCGCGUCGGAUGUGAAAGCCCUUGGCUUAACCGAGGAAGUGCAUCCGAAACUGGCGAGCUAGAGUACUAAAGAGGAUCGCGGAAUUCCCGGUGUAGAGGUGAAAUUCGUAGAUAUCGGGAGGAACACCGGUGGCGAAGGCGGCGAUCUGGGUAGAUACUGACGCUGAGGUGCGAAAGCGUGGGGAGCAAACAGG